rnacentral:rRNA from 1 species
UGCGUAGGCGGUUAGAUAAGUCAGAGGUGAAAGCUCACAGCUUAACUGUGGAAUUGCCUUUGAUACUGUUUAACUUGAAUCAGGUUGAGGUUGGCGGAAUGUGACAUGUAGCGGUGAAAUGCAUAGAUAUGUCAUAGAACACCAAUUGCGAAGGCAGCUAGCUGGACCUGUAUUGACGCUGAGGCACGAAAGCGUGGGGAGCGAACAGGAUUAGAUACCCUGGUAGUCC